rnacentral:rRNA from 1 species
GAUUUCUGAUUGGUCGCCCUGGCCCGCUGGCUUCGGUCUGUGAGCGCUGGUGUGUGCCAAUCAUCCUUCUAGAAGGCCGUGCGUACCGUUAUGCGGCCGCGCGCGUGCAAUCUAGAUCUUUUACUUUGAAAAAAUUAGAGUGUUUAAAGCAGGCUUACGCUGUGAAUACAUUAGCAUGGAAUAAUAAUAUAGGACUUCGGCCCUAUUUUGUUGGUUUCUAGGACUGAAGUAAUGAUUGAUAGGGAUAGUUGGGGGUGCUAGUAUUCAGCGGCCAGAGGUGAAAUUCUUGGAUUCGCUGAAGACUAACUACUGCGAAAGCAUU